ensembl:lncRNA
CUCAAAUGAGAAGCAUCUGAAUGAGCAGCUAAUGCAUGAAGCAAGAACUGAAAGCAGAAAGAUGGGUCAAGAGGAAAGGUGGGAUAAGCAAACAAAACAGGAACAAAACAGCAUCUUCCAUGGAUAUCAGUACCUUUUCCCAGCAAGUCUAAGACCCAGGGCUCAAAAAUACCACUCAUAAGUGCUGUGAAUUCAAACACUGAAAAAAGAAAAAGAGGCUUCUACUCAGUCAGGUAACGAGAAAUGAAUACCCUGGUUUGCAUUCCAAAACCACUACAUACAUGUAAACUCUUCUGUCAUGGUUCGACUAUAAAUGGAAUCAGAUUGUAUAUAUGACCACCAUGGUGUAUUUUUUCACUUAAUAAUAUUUCUUGGCACCAUCUCAGGUUAGCAUAUGGAACUCACUUAUCGUAUUGAUGAAUUGGAAUUCUCGGUUUUACCAUUCCAGCCCAGAUAGCAUCUAGGUCUUUCAUCAGAACUAUUUGGAAUGCUAUUAGAUUGAACCUAAUUCUAAAGAUAAAAUCACAUGUUUGCUAUAAAGAUUUUUCUGUGUAAACAGUGAUAAUAUAGAAAUAUCUGUCUGGAACAAACAGUAGCAACUAUAUGCAGUACUGGAGUUUUUCUUUCAUUAAAGCUUAUGGAGUUUAGUAAUAUCACAGAUACAUUCCAUCAUCCAGACAGCUCUUGGCCUUUCCAAAACUGUACUUGAAAAACUGGAAUGAAUUAUGAUGAAAUAUUAAGUAAGUAUUAGUCUAAAUAAUUUUCUACCAAAAGUUUGGAAAGGCAUAUUUAG